UUUUGGAUCCUGUUAAGCAACUCGGCCCUUGAUUCGCUUAGUUCCUACAGAAGAAUAAAAAAAACUCAAACAUGGGGAAAGAGCUUGGCAUGACUAAAAGGAGAAGAUGGAAGCAAACACAGGUACGUACAGUGAGCUUGGAAUCAACAGGAUUGGUGUUUUCUUUCUUCUGCAGCAGAAUAAGAAACAAUCAAAAAGAUCAACAUCACAUUUCACUUAAACAUUCAACACUCAACACGCCUGGUAUGUAUAAUUGAGGUUGUUGAUAACUCAAAGACACAAUUGCAAAGAACAUAACCACAAAUCCAUCAAAACUACCAAGAAAAAUUCUCUAAUUUAGAAUAAUUAUGCAAAAAAAAAAAACAUAAAAAAAAUCUGAAGAGAUACACAAGGAUUAGACAAGAAGCACCAAAUUAAAAAAAUUGCUUUUGCAAGUGAAUUGAAGCAGAAUCUGAGAUUGUAACUCUCAUUUGUAAAUAGAAUCCCCUGGACUAUAUUUGCGAAGUGAUUUUGCCACAUGUCAUGUCUACAAUCAAUUUCAGAAAACAAAUAUGACAUGGAUAAUUUUAUUUAAUGUUGAUUUAUAUUUUUGGCAAACUUAUUAGAAUAUGGUAAUAAUUCAUAUAUUACAUUUAAUAUUGAUAUUUCUUUUUGGUAAUUUUUUUUUAAAUAUGGUAAUAGCUCAUACAUUAUCUAUAAAAUAAAUAUAUUCAUAUUUAACAUUUCAAAUUUUGAAAUAUUAUUACUUUUGUAUAAUUAUACAAUUUGUAUUACCAAAGCUUUCAAAAAUUUCUACAAUUAAAAAAAAAAAACAAAUAUCUAAUCGUAAGAUCAUUAGGUUCUUAUAUAUCUACAAAUUUUAUAAACAUUGUUUAGGGUAAAUUUUUGAUAAUUACACAAUUUUAUAUCAUUUUUAUUAGUUUUAUACAAAUUGAUUUAAUAUAUAUCAAAUAUAUAUUAAAUAUUAGUAAGAAAAUAGUAAAAUCUAUAAUAUUUAAUAAAUUUUACUUUUAAAUAUAAGUUAGAUUUAAAAAAUUCCUUAGGAAAACACCUAGUUUUACAUUAAAUCUACUGUUGAAAUCCUCAGUAACAACAAUAAAGAAUUGAAAAAAUCGAAAAGAGCAGAAACGAACUUGACUCGAGAAUUAAAAAUUGGAGAUCUAGGGAGUUUCAGACAAAACACACGGAUCAUCUAGUUCCGAAAUGUCUCACAGUUAAUCCCAAACCCUCAAUAACUUAAUUAUUUAACUAAUAAUUAUUUAUCAACCACCAAAUCCGACAAACUCUCAAUCUCAGACCACCAUGCGUCCCUUGAAUCGACAAAAUUAAAGCGAUUAGAGAGCAAAUGAGAGAGAGAUAUUACCGGAGACGAUGCGGAGACAAGAGCCGAAGGA
rnacentral:lncRNA from 1 species